rnacentral:piRNA from 1 species
UAUAUGAACAAUUUACGCUGC